ensembl:antisense Gm12977 predicted gene 12977
GAUUGUAUGGAUGAGACUGAAGUACACAGAGACCCAAGAGUCAGCCAGACAUCCCCCAACCCACUCAGUGCCUAUCUGGAGCAAUUGAGAGUUACGGCCAGAAACCCUGUACCCUACCGAACUUCCCUUGAUAAGCAUUGGGUCACUGCUGUUUUAGGACCUCUCCACCCCGCCAAUCUGCCUGCCUUGCGCUGAGGCACUGAGGUGGCUCCUCACUUCCCCAGGAAGGCUCUGAUAACGGUCUGUGGUAGACGGCCUGUGGAAUUGUGAAAGACGCCUCCCCGAGACCAAAGCGCUGACUGCUUCUUCAGACAGGAGCAGCCAGCCCGAAGAUUCUCCACAAGCGCUUCUGCCAGGAUUCCCUCAACCCGCCAGCCCCCAUUAACAGGGAAAGAAGCACUGUAGCUACCAGAAGGGACGGGAAGAAGAAAAUGCACUCAGGAUUUCCUUAGUUGAACUGCGUGAGGACCUGAAGCCUCUGAUGAGGGGAAGGAGGGACACACUUAUAUUCCUGACCCUCCCCAGAGCAGCAGGAGGAAAAGCCUAUCGCCACACCAUCUGAUCUUUGUCCUCUCGGGCCUCCACUCAGGGCCUCUUGCUACGGUCAAGCCUACUUGUCUGUCGCUCAUCCUAGGGGCCACUAAC